rnacentral:rRNA from 1 species
AUUGAACGCUGGCGGCAGGCCUAACACAUGCAAGUCGAGCGAGCGGAGGACGGGUGAGUAAUGUAUGGGGACUGCACGAUAGAGGGGGAUAACUACUGGAAAAGGUGGCUAAUACCGAAUACUAUAGGAUAACCCAUAUGGGAGUAGCUAGUAGGUGGGGUAAAGGCGCCCCUAGGCGACGCUCUCUAGCUGGUCUGAGAGGAUGAUCAGCCACGCUGGGACUUAGACACUGCCCAGACUCCUACGGAGGCAGCAGUGGGGAAUAUUGCACUAUGUGCGCAAGCCUGAUGCAGCCGUGCCGCGUGUGUGAAGAAGGCCUUAGGGUUGUAAAGUACUGUCAGCGGGGAUGCGUUACCCGCAGAAGAAGCAGCGGCUAACUCCGUGUCAGCAGCCGCGGUAAUUC